rnacentral:rRNA from 1 species
UUAAAAAGCUCGUAGUUGAAUUUCGGGGUUAGUAGGUUGGUCAUGCCUCUGGUAUGUACUGGUCUCACCGAUUCCUCCUUCCUGAUGAACCGUAAUGCCAUUAAUUUGGUGUUGCGGGGAAUUUGGACUGUUACUUUGAAAAAAUUAGAGUGUUUAAAGCAAGCUAACGCUUGAAUACAUUAGCAUGGAAUAAUGAAAUAGGACGUUCGAUCCUAUUUUGUUGGUUUCUAGGAUUGACAUAAUGAUUAAUAGGGAUAGUUGGGGG